rnacentral:rRNA from 1 species
GAUGAACGCUGGCGGCGUGCCUAAUACAUGCAAGUCGAGCGAACAGACGAGGAGCUUGCUCCUCUGACGUUAGCGGCGGACGGGUGAGUAACACGUGGAUAACCUACCUAUAAGACUGGGAUAACUUCGGGAAACCGGAGCUAAUACCGGAUAAUAUAUUGAACCGCAUGGUUCAAUAGUGAAAGACGGUUUUGCUGUCACUUAUAGAUGGAUCCGCGCCGCAUUAGCUAGUUGGUAAAGUAACGGCUUACCAAGGCAACGAUGCGUAGCCGACCUGAGAGGGUGAUCGGCCACACUGGAACUGAGACACGGUCCAGACUCCUACGGGAGGCAGCAGUAGGGAAUCUUCCGCAAUGGGCGAAAGCCUGACGGAGCAACGCCGCGUGAGUGAUGAAGGUCUUCGGAUCGUAAAACUCUGUUAUUAGGGAAGAACAAAUGUGUAAGUAACUAUGCACGUCUUGACGGUACCUAAUCAGAAAGCCACGGCUAACUACGUGCCAGCAGCCGCGGUAAUACGUAGGUGGCAAGCGUUAUCCGGAAUUAUUGGGCGUAAAGCGCGCGUAGGCGGUUUUUUAAGUCUGAUGUGAAAGCCCACGGCUCAACCGUGGAGGGUCAUUGGAAACUGGAAAACUUGAGUGCAGAAGAGGAAAGUGGAAUUCCAUGUGUAGCGGUGAAAUGCGCAGAGAUAUGGAGGAACACCAGUGGCGAAGGCGACUUUCUGGUCUGUAACUGACGCUGAUGUGCGAAAGCGUGGGGAUCAAACAGG